GGCUGCGACGACGGCUCCGGGGAAGGAGGCUCCUGGAUGCGGCUCUGCCGAGCGCGGUGGCGGCAGUGACAGACAUCUUAGAAGAAAAGCAGGAUUUUAUUUACAAGAUGGCAAUAUAGAGUAAACACAAUCUAUCUCUACGUUCCUUCCAGGAGGAGGUGGAGAGCUGGAGCUGUGGUGGUGCUUCUGGUGUGUCACCUUUGGAGCGCUGUACAGUCAGUGGGUAUGCUGAGUUGAGUGGCGGCAGUUUUACUUGUUCCCAGUCCAGUCUGACACGCCAUAAUCCCAUGCACACAUGUGCACACAGUAGGAUUAACAGCUAGCUUUCUAUUGAGAGUGUGGAAUGGAUUUCUUUUGGCUUCCUCUAAGUGAUGAACAAGAAAUGUUAUUUUCUUUUCAGUACAGUAAAAGAGUUACUGCGUAACAGGAGAGACUUACUAGCAUAUUCAGAACCACAUAGAUUCACUGGUUCACGCUUUUUGGGCAACCAAUAUACAGUUAUCAUUGAAGUGGACUGUGAGUGUGUUAUUGUGGAGCCAGGUAGAUCAUAAUUGGAUUUAUUAGGCUUAGUUACAUUUUAGUUGCUAACAAAGCAAACUAAAACUUUUGUCUUCCUUCUUUUAAUUAAACCACUUACAAAUUAUAAACCAUAGGAGAGUGAGAAAUGUCUGCUAAAAGUAGGACUGUAAUGCAUUAAGAAUUGAUUUCAAUUCCCAAAGGAACAGAGAGUAGCAUUCCUACUAAUGUGGUUAUUCUCAACAUUUUUUAGAAAUCAUGCCCUACGAGUGUAGACCUGCUACUAAAAAUGUUUUUUCUUACGUUUAAAUGGAAUUUCCUGUAUUUCAGAUUUCCGUUUGUGGCCAUUCCCUCUCAGCCUGUCAGUGGAUGCCAAAAGGCUGCUGCUCUUCUUUACUGCCCCCUCCCCGCCCCUGAUUGAUAAGCUUCCCCCCCUGAGCCUUCCCAAAUGAAAUUCAUUACAGAAAGCUCUUUACUACCUUGAGGCCUCUCCUGUUCUCAUACCAAGAAGCAAUAGAAGAAUGGUUUCAUUGUC